UACGGAGGGUGCGAGCGUUAUUCGGAAUUAUUGGGCGUAAAGGGCGCGUAGGUGGUUGGGUAAGUCCGGUGUGAAAACGCUAUCGCUCACCGAAGCGAAUGCGCUGGAUACUGCUCAACUUGAGUCCGGGAGAGGUUAGCGGAAUACCUGGUGUAGCGGUGGAAUGCGUAGAUAUCAGGUAGAACACCAGUGGCGAAGGCGGCUAACUGGCCCGGUACUGACACUGAGGCGCGAAAGCGUGGGGAGCAAACGGG
rnacentral:rRNA from 1 species